AAAAUAGAAAUCGGAUUAAGGCAUAAAUAAAAGGAACCUAAAUAAAAACACCGAUUAUCAAAAAUGUGAAAAACUCAAAGUUAGCGGUUUUCAUUUAACCUGUGCUUUGAUUAAUUUUCCAAUUCCUUCUUCUCUGCUCUCAAAAUUCAUUCUAAACCCAUACCCAGAAAUGCUUCAUCUCUCUCCUCUCACAAUUUUCAAGUUUUUUUUCAUGACUACAUCUUUAUAGUCUUUCUUAGCUUCACAAUCAGUCAAUCUUUCUCGUUUUUAGGGCGAUGGACUGAUGGUGGUGGUCGUGUCGGUGAUUUUUAGGGACAAAAUGAACCAUUCCCUCAUGUGGUUCCUCACCUCCACGGCGUUGUCCGUUUCACGGCUUUCGACCCAUCAUCCUCAACCAUUGUCUGCAACUCCUGGAUUCAAUUCGAUUAAUAAGGUAGAAGUCAAAUCAAAUUUCCUCAAGAUCGAAAACAUCUAUCCUUAAUUCGAGCAAAAUAGAAAAAUACUAGACCUAAUUUUGAGGCAAUUUUGGUGCAUUGAUUCAAGGAACAACAAAUUCGAAUCAAUUUCGAACCAAAAAUCAGAAAUUUGAGUGAAUGUAUGUGUGGCUGCAGUUGCUCGUGGCUGGUGUUGCACUUUGCUGCUGCUGCUGCUGCUGUUGUUGUUGUUGCUGCACGAUGUUUUGGUUCUGCUGUUGCUGAUGUCUGCUCUUGAUGCUCAUUUUGCUCUGCUCCUGCUGAUGUAUCCUCCUGAGUCCUGAUGCUGAUGUUGCUAUGCCCCUGCUAUUGUGGUUAUGCUCCCAUUGUAAUUUUAUUUUUCUUGUAUGUUUAUUAAAGUGUAAAACAUUAUAGCUAUUAUAUGUGCAAGUCUUUGUGGCAA